rnacentral:lncRNA from 1 species
UUUUUUUUUUUUUGCAAUUUUUAAUUCCUUCAAUUAUAGUAUAAGGAAGGGAAAAAAAAAAAAAAUUUCUUUAUAUAAACUGUCAUGAAUAAAAAUCUUUAACAUGGAUUUAACAGAUAAAAUGAACCAGGAUAAAAUGGUUGAUCAUAAGAACGAAGAACAAGAAAAUACAACAGUUAGUGAAACUCAAAAUGAAAGUCUAAAAGCUAUAGAUGAAGAAGAAAAGAAUGCAAGUACAGAAACAGAUAAAAAUUUAGUAGAAGCUGUUAAUGACGUUAUAAAAGAUGUUCCAAAUAAUGUUGUAAAUGAUGUUGCAAAUGUUGCAAAUGUUGUUACAAAUGAUGUUGCAAAUGUUGUUACAAAUGAUGUUACAAAUGUUGUUGCAAAUGAUGUUGCAAAUGUCGUUGCAAAUGUCGUUGCAAAUGAUGUUGCAAAUGAUGUUGCAAAUGAUGUUGCAAAUGAUGUUGCAAAUAAUGUUGUAAAUGAUGUUGUAAAUUUAAACACGAACAAAAAAUCACCGGAAAGUGCUGAGAUAAAAAAUGAUGAGAAAAACUUGGAUAAAAAGAAUGAACCGACAUUUGUGAGAACAGCUGCUGAAAAUCAUAGAGUUUUAAGUAAUGAAUACUUGAGUAAUGAAAAAAAAUUUUUAAACUUUAAUACUUUAGGAAGUGAAAAUUAUAACAAACCACGCACUGGGUCAUUAUUUAUUGAAGUUAAAGGGCUUUUAGAAAUUGUUAAUUCUAGAGAAUUCGCAAGAAAUAUAAAUGCAGAAAAUUUAUUUAUAAGAACAAAAGGUGAAAAUAUGAAUAUUAAGAGUAAGCGUUCAUUCAGUGUUCCAAAUAAAGUAGUACCAAAAAAAGCAGUUACAAAAAAGUCAGUUUCCAACUUAACAAUUCCAAAGACUGCUCCCAAACAGAAUCUUAAACAAAUUUUAAGAACGCCUAAAUUAGAAUAUGUUCCAAAAAAAGCUCCUUUGUUAACAAAACCACUCGAAAAAAUGCCACACACAUUAAACAAAAGUCGUUUGAACAAAAAUGAAAAUCUGGAUAAAAAAUUAGACCCCACUAAAGCAAAAAGUGUUAUUAGAUAUUCACCCAAAAAAGCGAUUGUUCCGAAAGAUUCAAAAAUUAAAUUAAAAGAACCAGUUAAACCAAAACAUGUACUGUCUUCAAAAACUGGUAAUGAAGAAAACCCCCCAAACACUAAUAUUUUGGAAGCAAUAAAUAAGACUGCUAUAAGAUUAUCUAAUAAAAGCGUUCCUAUAUUAAAUAAGGAUAAAGGUAUCAAGAGCAAAGCAGAACCACCUAAAAGCAAUUUAAAAAAUACAUUACGUUUUUUAAAAAAUGCUACAGAUAUGAAAAAUAAUAAAACUGAAUCUCCCAAAGCAAAAAUAGAUAUAAUAAAUGACAAUACAAAUAAAAAGGAUAUUCCAUCAAAUAGUAGCAAACCUACAACGAAAAAAAAAACUUUAUCAAAAAAUUCCACAAUUAAAAGUAUAUCUACUAAAACAGCUAAAGGGUUAUUAGAUUCGAAAUCAAGAAAUUUAUCAAAAAAAACAGUUUCGAAAGUAUCAAGCGAAUUAAAACUUAAAGACAAAGAAAAAAAAAAAAAAGUAUUACCUAAAAAUGCGAAAGAUAAUAAAGAACGAUUGUCGUCUAAGCAAUUGGUAGAAAAUGACACCAAUAAAUCAAAUGACAAAAAAACGAAUACUGAUGCCACCACAAAUGAAGGAAAUGAAACAAAUGAUAAAAAAGUUGAAGAAGUAGUAGAUGAUAAAGAACAAAAGGAAAUAAAUGCAGAUAAUAAAAAUGAAUUAACACAAUCAGCUGAUAAAAAAUUUGAAAACGAAAUGAUACAAUCCAUAAAUGAUAAAGAUGGACUUGAAAAUGAAAAGGACAAAAAAACAUCAACGGAUAAUGAAAAAUGUACUGAAACAGAAAUUAAUGUAAAAGAAGAAGAAAAUGUAGACGUAGAAAAGACGCAAACAUUAUGGGAUAAUGAUAAGAAUACUGAAGUUGUAAAAGAAGAUAACAAACCAGAUGAUAAAGAGGAUUCGAACAUAGAAAAAGUUACUGAUAUAUUGUUUCAGAUUGAAAAAAAUGAAUCUGAAAAGGUAGAUCAAAAAGAUGAGCAAAUGGAGGAUCAAAAGGAUGAGCAAAAGGAGGAUCAAAAGGAUGAGCAAAAGGAGGAUCAAAAAGAUGAACAGAAGGAGGAUCAAAAGGAUGAACAGAAGGAGGAUCAAAAGGAUGAACAGAAGGAGGAGCAAAAGGAGGAGCAAAAGGAUGAACAGAAGGAGGAGCAAUUGGGAGACCAUACUGAAGAUCCAAAGCCAGAUCAAACUGAAGAACCAAAGAAAGAUCAAAUUGAAGAAUCACAACCAGAACUAGUGCCAAAGGAAAAACAGCAAACAGAAAAAAAAAACGACAAAAAAAUAGAAAAAAAGAAAGCGCUUGAAAAGAAAAAAAACGUAGCCGAAAAUAUAAAAGAAAUAAAAAAAACAAAAACUAUAAACGUGAAGCAGACUCCCAAAAUAUCAUUCGGCGCGAAAAUGAACAUAAAGAAUUCUUUGAAUUUAAAACAAAGUAUAAAGGCUGAUUCUGUUUUAAAAAGUAGAUCAACAAUUAAAGCUAGUAGUCCACUUUUUAAACAUAAAACGAACAUUAAUAUAAAUUUAAAAGAUAAAAAGAAUUUAAAUAAUGAAAAGAGUAAUAAUGUUUCAGAAAAAAGUAUCACUAACAAAAGUGUAAUGCCAAAAACAUUAACAAAAAACACAUUAAUUGCGAAAAAAACCAGCAUGAUAAAAAAAAUUAUCUCAAAUGCAAUUCCUGUAAAACUAAACAGUACAGAUAAAAAAAAAGAUGUAAAAAAAUUCAAUACAUUAAAUAAUAUUAAAAAAUUAGAAACAAAACGUAUGCUAGAGGAUUCAAAAAAUAAUAAAACGAAUUCUGAAAAUGUUGCCGUUAUAGGUUUAAAAAAACCAGCUUCUACUUCGAAAAAGGUACUAAUCAAUAAAUCAAAAACUGAUAACAUCACUGAAAUGUUUUCAAAUAAAAACAAUAACAUAAAACCUUUUAAAUCUGAAAACUAUAAAAGUGAAUUAGAAAAACAUAAAAGUAUUAACAAGUUUGAUUUAAAAAUAGAUGGAGUCAUUUUAAAUAAGAAAUCCUUAAUUCCAAAAACAUCCACAUCGAGUAAAAAAAAUAACAGCUCUGCUUCAAAUCAAAGCCCUUCUGUAGUUGCAGAUAGUGAUAAUAAAAGCAACGAUUCAGGCACAAAAAAACGUGAAAUGAUAUCGAAAAAAAUCAGUAAUGUUAAAAUAGGUGGUCCUUUAAAAAAAUCUAAAUUAUUUAAAAAGCUAAAAAGUAGUGGUAAUAAAUCAGAUAAAAAUAUAAACCAAGAUAAUGAUAAUAGUGUAAUAAAUAGAAAUGACAAAAUAUAUAAAAAAUUAUCAAAAGCAAUUGGUUCUAAAUUACUAAAAUCUACCACUGCCGCUUCCGUUGCUACUUUAUCUUCAUUAAAAGGAGAUAAAAAAACUAAAAAGCUUAAAUCAGUAGCAUUAAGUAAACUAAGUAGUGCUGGAAUUAAAAAUAAAGAUAAAAAAAAUUUAAAAAAAAAUAAAGCAGUAAAUGGAAAUAGUGAUAACCUUUCAGAAAUAACAAAUGAAAAUUCUAUAAACGAAUUAACAUUAAAAACUAAUGACAAACGUUCAUCUGAUCAAUUGAAAAAUAAAUAUUUAACACCAAAACUUAGAUUCAACAAAUUCGUUAGUUCUAAUAAAAUGUCAAGAGAUGGAAGUUCAAAUCAUUCGAGUAUAAGUGCUUCACAGUCGGCUGCUCAAUCUGCGACACAUAAAAAAGUAUUAAAAAAAAAGAAAAAGAAAAUGAGUAACAAUGCAACUGAUGAUUCUAAUAAAAAUAUCACAAACACAGAAGAUGUUGUGAAAGAUAUUAUUACUACUACUACUACUACUUCUGCAACUAAUGUUUCAAAUCAAAAUACUACACCAAAGAUACAUAAAAAUGAAAGUACCUUAAGUAUACCAGUAUCAUCAAUUACAAAUAAAGAUAAUUCAGAUAAAAAAAAUAGUACGGCCGAAUUUAAAGGAAAUAGAAUUAAUGCACUUAUGAACUUAAAAAAUAAUUCUUCAUCAUUUAAUUUUGAUCAGCCUAAAUUAAAAAGCCCAACAAGAAAUUCAUCGUGUCAUGUAAAUAUGGAAAAUUAUAAUACACAAUAUAAAAAUUCAAAUAGCUCAAAUUAUAAUAAAGAAUUAACAAUGAGAAGAUCAAAUGGAAUGAAACAACAAUCAAAUUGGAUAUUUAAUAAUUGUUGUUCUUCAAAUGCAGAUAAUAAUAAUAAUUAUUAUUAUGAUAGAAAAGAACCUAUCAUACAAAAUUAUAGUUCAAUUUUUAAUGUGCAUAAUAAAUAUAUACCAAAGGAGCUAACUCCUCAAUUAGUACAGAGACCAACUAACACUAUGAGAGUAUCUGAAAUUUAUGCUUCGAACAUUUUAAAAAAUAAUAUGGUGAGUUCUGUAAGUACUAAAAGACUUUCAAAAUCUCGAACAAAUGGGCUAAACACUUUGGAUAAAAAUGGUCAAAUGAGUGUAUAUUCAUCUAAUCAUUCUAAUAUAGAAUUGGAAAAAAAAGGAAUUUUUAAUUGUAAUUAUAAAAGUCCAUCACGUUAUGCAUCAGUAAAUUAUUGUAGUUGUAUUUAAAGUGGUAUGGUGAGUGAUGGUCCAAGCGUGUAUAUGUUAAUAUUUAUAUUACAUAAAAAGAAAAGGGAUGGAACAAAAAAAAAAAAAAAAAAAAUAUGUUUUAGAAUGUUUUUAUUAAAUGAUAUCAAUUGUUGUACAAUAUACAUAUUUGGCUUAAAUAUUUAUAAACAAAAAAAAUAAAAUAAUAAUAAUAAAAAUAAAAAUAAAUAGA